rnacentral:rRNA from 1 species
UACGAAGGGUGCAAGCGUUACUCGGAAUUACUGGGCGUAAAGGGUGCGUAGGUGGUUUGUUAAGUCUGCUGUGAAAUCCCCGGGCUCAACCUGGGAAUGGCAGUGGAUACUGGCAAGCUAGAGUGCGGUAGAGGGUAGUGGAAUUCCCGGUGUAGCAGUGAAAUGCGUAGAGAUCGGGAGGAACACCAGUGGCGAAGGCGGUUACCUGGACCAGCACUGACACUGAAGCACGAAAGCGUGGGGAGCAAACAGG